CCGAGUAUAGGGGCCCCCCUCGUGGAGGCCCCGAACUCCCACCCCGUGCUUACGUACCUCCGUUGCCUCGGCGGGCCCGCCUGGGGACUCCUCGCGAGUCCCCCGGGCAUCCGGCCCUCGCGCUGGACAGCGCCCGCCAGAGGACCAACCAAACCCGUUUUUACCGGCAGUCUGAGUAAUAUAACAAAUAAGUUAAAACUUUCAACAACGGAUCUCUUGGUUCUGGCAUCGAUGAAGAACGCAGCGAAAUGCGAUAAGUAAUGUGAAUUGCAGAAUUCAGUGAAUCAUCGAAUCUUUGAACGCACAUUGCGCCCUCUGGUAUUCCGGAGGGCACACCUGUUCGAGCGUCAUUACACAAAUCAAGCCCUGCUUGGUAUUGGGUGAAGCCCUCCGGGGCCCGCCUCAAACCCCUCGGCGUCGCCGUCCGUCUUCGAGCGCAGCGAGAUAACUUUCCAGCGUUUUCGAGACGGGCCACGUCCGCCGCAGAACAACACCUUUAUUUUUCUAUCAAG
rnacentral:misc_RNA from 1 species